GUCGGGAGGGCGGCUAAUACAAGACCCUCCACGGGGGAAUACGCCCGCCGAUCGGUUGCUUUCGGUUUUUGACCUCCCGACGCCCUCGC
rnacentral:ncRNA from 1 species